rnacentral:rRNA from 1 species
GGGUUGUGAGGUUAAGCGACUAAGCGUACACGGUGGAUGCCCUGGCAGUCAGAGGCGAUGAAGGACGUGCUAAUCUGCGAUAAGCGUCGGUAAGGUGAUAUGAACCGUUAUAACCGGCGAUUUCCGAAUGGGGAAACCCAGUGUGAUUCGUCACACUAUCAUUAACUGAAUCCAUAGGUUAAUGAGGCGAACCGGGGGAACUGAAACAUCUAAGUACCCCGAGGAAAAGAAAUCAACCGAGAUUCCCCCAGUAGCGGCGAGCGAACGGGGAGCAGCCCAGAGCCUGAAUCAGUGUGUGUGUUAGUGGAAGCGUCUGGAAAGGCGUGCGAUACAGGGUGACAGCCCCGUACACAAAAAUGCACAUAUUGUGAGCUCGAUGAGUAGGGCGGGACACGUGGUAUCCUGUCUGAAUAUGGGGGGACCAUCCUCCAAGGCUAAAUACUCCUGACUGACCGAUAGUGAAC